CUGUUGGGUAGGGGAGCGUUGUGUAAGCGGAAGAAGGUUCAUCGAGAGGUGGGCUGGACGUAUCACAAGUGCGAAUGCUGACAUAAGUAACGAUAAAACGGGUGAAAAACCCGUUCGCCGGAAGACCAAGGGUUCCUGUCCAACGUUAAUCGGGGCAGGGUGAGUCGGCUCCUAAGGCGAGGCUGAAAAGCGUAGUCGAUGGGAAACAGGUUAAUAUUCCUGUACUUGGUAAAGCUGCGAUGUGGGGACGGAGUAGGUUAGGUUAUCGCACUGUUGGAUAUGUGCGUUUAAGUUGGUAGGUGGGAAGUUUAGGCAAAUCCGGACUUCCUUAACACAGAGAGAUGAUGACGAGGCUCUACGGAGCUGAAGUAACUGAUACCACACUUCCAGGAAAAGCCACUAAGCGAAAGGCUUUACUAAACCGUACUGAAAACCGACACAGGUGGUCAGGUAGAGAAUACUCAGGCGCUUGAGAGAACUCGGGUGAAGGAACUAGGCAAAAUAGCACCGUAACUUCGGGAGAAGGUGCGCCGGCGUAGAUUGUAAGGGCUAGCCCCUGAAGGUUGAACCGGUCGAAGAUACCAGCUGGCUGCAACUGUUUAUUAAAAACACAGCACUCUGCAAACACGAAAGUGGAGGUAUAGGGUGUGAUGCCUGCCCGGUGCUGGAAGGUUAAUUGAUGGUGUAAUCGCAAGAGAAGCACCUGAUCGAAGCCCCAGUAAACGGCGGCCGUAACUAUAACGGUCCUAAGGUAGCGAAAUUCCUUGUCGGGUAAGUUCCGACCUGCACGAAUGGCAUAAUGAUGGCCAGGCUGUCUCCACCCGAGACUCAGUGAAAUUGAAAUCGCCGUGAAGAUGCGGUGUACCCGCGGCUAGACGGAAAGACCCCGUGAACCUUUACUAUAGCUUGACACUGAACAUUGAAUUUUGAUGUGUAGGAUAGGUGGGAGACUUAGAAGUAGUCACGCCAGUGAUUAUGGAGUCGACCUUGAAAUACCACCCUUUAACGUUUGAUGUUCUAACGAAGAUGACGAAACGUGGUCUCGGACAGUGUCUGGUGGGUAGUUUGACUGGGGCGGUCUCCUCCCAAAGCGUAACGGAGGAGCACGAAGGUUUGCUAAUCACGGUCGGACAUCGUGAGGUUAGUGCAAUGGUAUAAGCAAGCUUAACUGCGAGACAGACAAGUCGAGCAGGUACGAAAGUAGGUCAUAGUGAUCCGGUGGUUCUGAAUGGAAGGGCCAUCGCUCAACGGAUAAAAGGUACUCCGGGGAUAACAGGCUGAUACCGCCCAAGAGUUCAUAUCGACGGCGGUGUUUGGCACCUCGAUGUCGGCUCAUCACAUCCUGGGGCUGAAGUAGGUCCCAAGGGUAUGGCUGUUCGCCAUUUAAAGUGGUACGCGAGCUGGGUUUAGAACGUCGUGAGACAGUUCGGUCCCUAUCUGCCGUGGGCGUAGGAUGAUUGAUUGGGGCUGCUCCUAGUACGAGAGGACCGGAGUGGACGCAUCACUGGUGUUCCGGUUGUGUCGCCAGACGCAUUGCCGGGUAGCUAAAUGCGGAAGAGAUAAGUGCUGAAAGCAUCUAAGCACGAAACUUGCCAAGAGAUGAGUCAUCCCUGACUUUAAGUCAGUAAGGGUUGUUGUAGACUACGACGUAGAUAGGUUGGGUGUGUAAGUGAUGUGAGUCAUUGAGCUAACCAAUACUAAUUGCCCGAGAGGCUUAACUAU
rnacentral:rRNA from 1 species